rnacentral:rRNA from 1 species
GAUGAACGCUGGCGGCGUGCCUAAUACAUGCAAGUCGAGCGAACAGACGAGGAGCUUGCUCCUCUCACGUUAGCGGCGGACGGGUGAGUAACACGUGGAUAACCUACCUAUAAGACUGGGAUAACUUCGGGAAACCGGAGCUAAUAACGGAUAAUAUAUUGAACCGCAUGGUUCAAUAGUGAAAGACGGUUUUGCUGUCACUUAUAGACGGAUCCGCGCCGCAUUAGCUAGUUGGUAAGGUAACGGCUUACCAAGGCAACGAUGCGUAGCCGACCUGAGAGGGUGAACGGCCACACUGGAACUGAGACGCGGUCCAGGCUCCUACGGGAGGCAGCAGUAGGGAAUCUUCCGCAAUGGGCGAAAGCCUGACGGAGCGACGCCGCGUGAGUGAUGAAGGUCUUCGGAUCGGAAAACUCUGUUAUUAGGGAAGAACACAUGUGUAAGUAACUAUGCACGUCUUGACGGUACCUAGUCAGAAAGCCACGGCUAACUACGUG